CCCCCCUCAGGGUCACACCUGAAGAGUUUCCAGUACUCUACCAGUCUCGACUAUGAGAGGGAGAGUAAAGCAGAGGCAUAUCCAUUCCAUUCCUAGCUUGGCCAGUGGCUAGUGAGUGGAAAGUGAUCUGCUUCAGAC
rnacentral:snoRNA from 1 species